GCUCAUAGGGGUCUCACAGAGGGCUGACGGGAGUCUCACAGGGUCUCACAGGGUCUCACGGGGCUUGCAAGGGUCUGAAAGGGUCUUACAGGGGUCUCACAGGGUCUUACUGGGGCUCGCAGGUGUCUCUGAGGGUCUCAUGGGGGCUCCCAGGGCUCUCUCAGGGUCUCACAGGGGGCUUACAGGGGCUCAAAGGAGUCUCACAGGGGUCUCACAGGGAGCUUUGCGCUGCCUCCAUGCCACCCGCUUCUCCCACCCGUGCCGCUGGCCAAGGUUUCACCAGACGCCCCGUGCCCCUUAGAUUCCCUUCGGUGUCUGAGGUUGUGCUCGCUCCUGUGGAGUGGUGAAUUCAGCACUCCACGCUGAGGUCUGACACAUCAGUCAGCACAGACCUGCAGCUGGGAGGCUUCGGCCGCCUUCACACCCCACCAGCAUGAGACUUUUGCGAUAGUUUGUGGAGGAAAGGGUGUUCAGGGAGGAGACAACGUCCACCCAAGUCUCCCUGGUAUCAGCCUGCUUUGCUUGAAGACAAUUCAGGUGACGGCUAAAACCAGCUGCUGAAACAUUGGCCAAGGCACUGCUGUUGCUUCAGCAAGUCCAGAGGAGCAGCUUAAAGGCUGGAGGAAACCCUGUGCCCUUGGAGAAAUUGUUUCCCCUUUUCCUACAGGGAAUCCAGAGCCUGAGCAGCAGCUGUGAAGAGUGGAGAUAAAGAAAGAAGUGGAAGAUGUUGGAAGUGCUUUGGGCAACGUGAAGAAGGAUUUGCACUGAAGGAGCUGUUCAAGGGCCCAGCAGCAAAACAGAGACACAUACAUGCUUAUAUAUAGAAGAAUGUAAACCCUCCUGUAUGCAUACGUUAAAACGUGCAUGCCUUGUUGAGAACGUAAGCAACAUUCCUUGUAGAUGAUGGUGGUCUGAGCAUUCGUGCUCCUGCAGUCUGAGUCAAAAGAUUAGUGAUGUCCUUGCUGUAAUGCUAGCAUUUUCUCCACUGCACCUUGUUUGUGGUGACAUAAGUGUCCCUUUCAAUGCAGCAGGAUGAAAAAUUAUCUGUACAUCCAGAGUUAAAUAAUACCUUGACCAAACUCGCUGCAAAGUGGGCAUGUUCUAGCCUUGGUGGCGGAGGAAGAGGUGCGUAGCAGCUUGGACAACAGACAGUUUGUGUGUGUAUAUAUUAAGCGCUAUAGCACCAGGUGAGAUAAGCUUUUCUUAAGACUUUUGUUUCUCUGGUGCUACAUGUACUAUUUGUCUGGGGCUAAACUGCCUCUUUGUGGUGCUACAGUUUCCCCAAGAAGAUGUUCUGAAACAUGGGACAAGGAGAAAUCUAUUUUGGUUAUUGAUAUUUAUACACAAAAAUAGCAAAAAAUAAUACUUGUUCAAGAAGGUGCUAUUUUUUUUUCUUUCUUUCAACCUCUGCAUAAAUUAAGACAAAAAAGUAAUCUAGCCCAGAAUUUUAUAAAACUAAUUUUCUUUGGGGCAGUUCUUUUUCUUUUGUCAGUUCUGAGCUUGGGAAGCAGCAUUCACUGAGGUGGCAAAGACACACCAGCUCCUUUCACUGCAGUGUACAUGUCAGAUCUGCUAACGCAGAAUCUUACACAGCUCUGGAGCUGAGUGUUCUCCUGGAUGGUGACUCAAGUGGUCUCAAAUCCUGUUAACCAGGAUUUGAAGAAAAGACCUAUAGAAAAGAACUAUAUCUAGACUAAUCAAGAGACUAGAGGAUAAUAGGAGAACUUGUCCUUAGAAGUCAAGAGGCUUUUCCCAGCCUAGUACUGAGCACUUUUUUUCUUGCAGCCAAAACUACCUGUCAGAUUCAGGAUACCUUCCAGAAGCUAUUUACAGUAAUUCUUAGGCACAUUUUUUAGAAACAUUCGUCCUGGCUUCAGAUAUUUGCAGCACAAAAUUAACCUUCACAUGGCAGGGGUGAACUUUCAAAGGCAUAAAGGGAUGUCAAGAUUCCAGUUUCCAAAGUUUGGCUCCUUGUCUUUUAAAAAUACUUUCUAACUCCUGCCCAAUCAAGGAACAAACCGAGCAGUUGCUAUGACCCAGUCAAACUUUGCAUUUUUCACUACCGCAGGAGAAAUGUUUCUAAGCAAUCUAAAAGCUAAAUUCUCUCUUUAUCAAAUAUUCACCAAUGUGUUUUGGGCACCUGCACACAUAUUCAUGGGAAUUAUUGAUCCAAGUCAAUUCACAAACAGCAGAAAGGGCUACGCUGAAAGAGCAAAUUGUUGCUAAUGAAUAACCUUGCCCUACUUUAUUUUAUGUGCAGUGGUGGGAGGGAUCAUGUAGCUAAGUGUAUUUUGUCUAUUGAUAGAGUUUGGAUGGCCUCAGAACCACAGGGACUACAUCCACCGAUAAAACAUUUUUCUACCAUUUUUGGCCUGAUGCUCACUAAUACUAGGCAACCUGUAUUCCUUCCUGGCUCAGUCUCUGAUCAAAACAAGAAUUCUUCUGGCAAAUGGAGGAGCCUCAGCUGAUUUCAGCAGGGUUGCAAGUGCUGGAUUAGUGACUGUGGAUCAGGCAUAGUCUUAAAAAUACAAUCUUCUGCAAAUCACUAAAACAAGGAAGUGAACUCGUGUGUUCCUGUAUUGCACAAUAGUCAAAUUUGAACAGAAAAUAAUUGAUUGGGAAGACUGGAUGCAUAACUUUGCUAUAGAGGACACAUAACCUGCAGGGGGCCUUCCCUUUACCCCUUCUCUCACCCUGUGUGUGUACCCCACAUAUACAGAGGCAGCCUUUUGACAACGCAGCCAACAGAGGAGCUAGCUUACAUUUCUCAGUGCAAGUAUGAGGGCUCUCCCACAUUUCCUCACCCUUAACAAUUACUAUUAGCUCCUGAGAUCUGAAUGUUUAAUAAACUACUAACCUGGAAUGUGCAUUACUUUUCCCUUGCAUCUUCUGUGCACACGGUUUGCACUACCACUGGUUUUUCCUGCCAUGCUGGCUAUUUGGGCUUGUAGCCUUGAGACUUCUUGCAGCAUUUUUUCCCAAAGAGGCAGUUCCCCUGAAACACUACAGCACACAGCAAAGGAAAGAAAAAGAAAGUUCUGUUCUUACCCCUUUGGGAAAGCCCCUUAAAGCAGUGACCAACCUCAGUACAAAGUGAUUGGCUAAUCUUCCUGAGUCCUAACUCACCAUGGACAAGCUUUUCUGAAAAACAAGCAACAGAACCAAACCAAAAACAAACAAAAUGAAACAGAACUCCCAGGGAAUCAGUCUCUUCCUUGGUUUUUCCCAACAUUCAGCCAAAAUGGCAGAAGGCAUGCUGCCUGUUGUUACUCUCAUGAAACAAGAACUAAAUCUAUGGUGCUUCCCAAGUAUGAAACAAGAGCAGGAACAGACCCCAGAUCCUGCUUUAAUCCUGAUUUGCUUCACUUUUAUAGUUCUAAAUGGGAUGUUUGAUGUGAACCAAGGGUUAACUUUUGGAGACUUUCAUCUAUUAGUUGCUGGGUCAAGCAAGCUUUGCUAGAGAAACAGCUUACCAGCACUUUAUAGCUAGCAUUCACUGUACAUAAAUGGAAUUACUUAAUAGAGGGUAUGUAUUUGUCAAAGCCUUACAUUUUCUGGUAUAAUUGCUAUUCUUGAAUGCCUCCAUUUUUUGAAAAGGGGUGUUUUUAUCCUUUUUAAAAUACCUAAUUUAACCCUGGUUGAUGUUUGUACUAGAAAAGAAAGCAUGCUGUAUACUCCCCUAGUGCUGUUCAUACUGCAUCACAACAGCUGUGUGAGGUGGUGGGGGGUUUCUGUACCUUCCUAAUGGGUAGGAAACCAGCACAGUUCCUCUCUUUCUCUCUCUACUCUUUUUUUUUUUUUUUUUUUUAACAGCAGCAAAGAAGUCAUUGAUUUUGAUUAGCUUCGCAGUUGUGCCUCGGUGAAGACUGGGGAGUGCUCUCUAAAUGAAAAAAAAGACCUCAUCUUAGGUUUCAGCAGACGGUGCGUGUGCAAGCCAGAGGAGGAGGUUAUGAGAUCAUAGUCUAUAUGGAACACCGCAUAAUGUGGCUGUGAGGAAAGUCUUUAUUAAUUUUUAAAGCAGCAAUCCACCAAGAUAGCUCCUAUCACAUAUUGGAAUUUCAUAUUUCAAGUUAAAAAAGCAGUACAGCGUGGACUACUAAUCAGUUCCUCUCCCCUGACUGUUAAAAGAAGUCACUUGGCCAAAUUAAUUCUAGGAUAUCACCACUGUCUGAUUACAGACAGCUGCGUUACACCCAGGACAGAAUUUAGCCUAUUGAUUCCAGAUUCCUUCUUAGAAUUAUUUUAAUUAGGUAAGAAAAUAUGGAAUGGGACCAGUUCUACCUUUUAUGUUGUACAGGAACAGCAGUGCCUCCUGUGGCACAUUUUCAUGUGCCUAGGACAAGCAUCACCCAAUAAAAACAUAGAGCAAAUCACCCAAAUCAAUGAGUUGCCAGUGAUGAGGAAUGAGAAACCCAUCGUGCUUCUGUUUUAGAGCAUGUAGGCAUGCAGAAAUUAUCCUAAUUUAGCUAAGCCCAUUACUAAAGCAAUUCACUUAAAUCAGAAACACUUGUUAAAUCAGUUUAAUCUGAUUUGAGAAUUUGUUUUGUUUCUAUACCAUGCUAAAAUUAUAACUUCACUGCAAAAGCAGAAGCCAUAUCUUCUACUGGAAAUGAUUAGAAGCAGAUUUAGUUAAACUGGUGCAGAUUCUAUGUCCACAAACACCUUGGCGCCAGGCACUUCCCCUGCUGCCUCGUAAGAUGAAACGAUUUGUUCAAUACUGCUAUUGCCAUAGCCCUCAGAGGUUGAACAGGCAGAGGAGAAUCUCCCUCUGGGAGGCAGUGGAGAAAGGGGAAGCAAAACCAAAGGAGAUCCUUCCUUUCUGAAAUUCUGCCGUACCAUGUACAAAAUGGCUAAUGGUGAGGACAGGAUAACACAUCUACCUUAAUACAUAUUUUUAAUUUUUCUACAAAUGGUUUUGAGAAAACAGCUGUCCAUGAUCUAACAGAAGCCCGGGUGUAUGUAACAAACUACCUGUGGCUCCCACUGAAACCCACAUUUUUUGUAGGCAUGUCAAAACUUCUGGGCUAUAUUCUACCUCCACAACAGGUUGAACAAUAUCUUAGCAACUGUUCUUAGAGCAAAUUAUUUUGAAUCCAAACUUCAAAAAUUCAGCCUCAUUCUCUGCCUCAAUGUAACACUGUGAAAGUUCACUGCUUUCUGUAUGCUGAGUUAAACUUGUUCGUCUCUCUCAGUACAACAGGUUAGGAGACACUGGCCACAUGAACUCAAAAUCCAAAAGCCUAGGGAAGUAUAAAUAACGUAGGACUUGAUCUUAGGAAAACAAUGGUCUGAAUGGAGGAGAGGAAUCCUCACAUGUCACUUCUACCUUGCUCUUCUAAUUCUGUGCUGGUCUGAAUGUGCAAGGCCGUUUAAUUCAGAGGGCUAUCUAUCUUUGCUCAUGGUACAGGUUUAUUCCUGUCCCUGGCAUAAGACACUUCUGUGCUUCUUUCCUCUGCCUAUCCUACUGGCUUGAACCACGUUCCACCUGCAUAAAAAGAAUCUCCAUCAGUAUGUACUCCAAAUGCACUCCCAAAUUCGGGUCUUCCAAACAACAGCUCUGCCCUUAGCAGUUGUGGGAAAAAGCUGACAUUUCCAAAGGUACAGAAUUUGCAUUCCCCAUCUGCAAGAUAAAUUGAAAACUACAAAAUAGAAAAAAAAGGUGAAUAUUUUUUCUGACAAUAUUUAUUUGAAAACAAGAGUGAAUUUUCACUUAACUCCAAUCACGCUUCUUCAGUGUUCACUCUGCAUAAAUACUUGAGUACUUGAAUUUCACAAGUUUUUAAAUAUUUACAGAAAGUGACUUUGGAGCUUGACAAAUAUUCACUGAAAGCUUCUGGGUAUUGAACUGUCAAUCUCCAUGCAUUAUUCGUUACAGAUGCCACCUAACUACAAUGGGAUUUAGUUUUAAUGGAUAUUCACAGCAUAAACUUUCCAAACAAUUUGAAGACUGCAGUUUAUUGCAAGAAGAAAUCUCCCCAUCAUCUUAAAUCCUUAGGACAUCUGAAAAAUUUCCAGUCUGCUCCCAGAUGCAUUUCUGUUAGAUGCAUUUCUAACAGAACAAAAUUGAUGAAAUGCAGUGAAUACACAAUUCCUUGCACAUUACUGAUUUAGUACUAUUUGGAUGUAAACUCUUGCAGAGUCACUGUGCAAGUUUCCACCCUCAUAAAAGCAAGAGCAAAGCCUAUGCUUACUGUUGAUACAAAUUCAAAGUCUCCUGUUUAUAGUUGGAUGUGGCUUCUCUCUUUUGUAAAAGGAAUUUCAUAUGUUGAGACUCUUUGUACAUAUUUAUAAUGACUUUAUUAAAAAAAAGAAAAACUACUGUUAAAUG